UCCCUGGUGGUCCAGGGGUUAAGACGCCAUGCUCCUAAUGCAGGAGCCUCAGGUUCAAUUCCUGGUCAAGGAA
rnacentral:tRNA from 1 species